UUCAAUGACCAUUGAAUUGGGUUUUUUUGUUUUUGUUUUUACCUUUUGAGAUAAAUCACAGGGUUGAUCGUUUAUGCUUAGUUUAAAAAUAUGGCAGAGAUUAAAUCAAGAUGGUUUAUAAAUAGGACUGGCCUCCAGUAGCAGGUAAGCAGCUCCGCCCAGCGAAAGGACCGUUGACUCUGCAAGGCUCAGGGCUCCAAAUCCCUCGUGCGCAGCGAAGAAGAUUCCUUCAGACGCUCCUUGAAUCCAAGUUCAUUGCCUCAAAACAGCACCAAAGUAACAUGGGAAUUGAAAGAACUUUCCUUGGAGGUCAGAGGGAAGAAGAAAAUCCGGAGGGAAUCUUCCGUGCUGAGGACAGAGAAACUUCACGGUCAUCAAAGUGAGCAGCAUUUAAGAAAUUAAGACUUCCAAGCUCACUAUAUGAGCGGGUCACAGUGUAUUUAUACGCGGUUCACACGUGCCUGUGGACCACGCGUCCAGUCCCAGGAGGCUGAGGAAACACAGAAUGUCAAGUGCGGUCAAAUCACGAAUAGGACCGGAUGCGGAACUCUGUUCAGCUGCGUGUAAGACAAGCACAGGCCAUGCGGACGACCAAGGCCGCGCGGAGAUUGUGGAGGGCUUGGGAAUUUCUCUUAAUCAAAGGGCAACCUGGUGGGAGUGUUUUCCUAAAGUGAUGAACUCACAGAGAGUCCGAUUACCUGCCACAGGCUGGAUUGACUAAGGCGUUUGCAGAAACUCUAAUAAGGGUUUUGUUGAAAGACAGCAAUGGAAAGAAGGUGUCACCUGAAAAAUGUAUGAAUAAUAAGAUGGACUUUUUCCUUUUUUUAACCCUACAUUUAAAUGAUAGAAAAUGGAAUAUGAGGUUAAACUCGAGUAUUAAUAAUCAAAUUCAUCCUACCUUCUAUUGUUUCACUUUUCUUUUAAAAAUUUGUAUACUUCUCUCCAUUGGUUUUAUUUCAGUGUGUUUGAUAGGAGUACUAAUACUGGCCUCAGAAUUGUUCACUAUUUCCUGCCUGUACUGAAAUUUUAAUAUCUAAGUAUAUGCCUUUCCAUCUUAAACGUGGUAAAUAUUCGGUGGCUCAGUCAGGCAUCCGACUCUUGGUUUCUGCUCAGGCCAUGAUCUCAGGGUGGUGAGGUGGAGCCUGAAAUCCAGCGCCCAGCCAGGGCAGAGUCUGCUUGCGAUUCUCUCUCCCUCUUCCUCUGCCCCUUGCACUCAUGAUAUCUCUCUCUCUCUCU